rnacentral:misc_RNA from 1 species
CUCAUUGGCCUUAGUCCGUCUAUUGCAGACGAUUUAGACAGUGUCAGACAGACACUGUGUCGCCUAGGACUUCAGGAAAACGCAGAGUUGCCUAAGCUCUGCGCCACCCUCUCGACCUCACUGGCUAGGCCCACGGGAACGACGAGUCGAUACGUGUGGAGCCAGUUCGGCUGCAGGAGUCUUUCGCAUUUUAGAGCUAUGCCACGAAUGCUUGACGGAGACUCCAUU